ACUUUUAAUUAAUUUACAUGUUCUAUUUAAUUUUCUUGUUGAAAUAUUUUGAGUCACUUAUAAUGGGACAGAGGAAAAAAAAAAAAAAAAAGAAACUCUAUUGACCAAACGGGCUUCAAAUGUGAAACUCUCUAUAUGGGUCCAUUUAGUUUAGUUAUGGCCCAAAGAAUAUCAACUAGAGAUUGCUUUCAGUUCCGAAAAGGCCCAAAACUUACUGAAAGCCCAGCCCACUAACCUUGGAAGCAAAAGUCAGGAGGAAGAUCAGAGCCGUUGAUAUCCAGCUC
rnacentral:lncRNA from 1 species